rfam:Brachypodium distachyon strain Bd21 chromosome 5, whole genome shotgun sequence.
UAACUACUACCUCCGUUUCAUAAUUCUUGUCGAAAUCUUAGAUGUAUCUACACAUCUUUUAAGAAUAGAUACAUCCAUUUUUGAGCAAAUUUGAGACAAGAAUUAUGAAACGGGAAGAGUAGCUG